UACGUAGGGCGCAAGCGUUGUCCGGAAUUAUUGGGCGUAAAGAGCUCGUAGGCGGCCUGUUGCGUCCGCUGUGAAAUCCCGGGGCUCAACCCCGGGCCUGCAGUGGAUACGGGCUGGCUAGAGGCAGGCAGGGGAGAACGGAAUUCCUGGUGUAGCGGUGAAAUGCGCAGAUAUCAGGAAGAACACCCGUGGCUAAGGCGGCUCUCUAGUACGGUACUGACGCUGAGACGCGAAAGCGUGGGGAGCGAACAGG
rnacentral:rRNA from 1 species